CCUACGGGAGGCAGCAGUCGAGAAUCAUUCACAAUGGGGGAAACUCUGAUGGUGCGACGCCGCGUGGGGGAAUGAAGGUCUUCGGAUUGUAAACCCCUGUCACGUGGGAGCAAAUUAAAAAGAUAGUACCACAAGAGGAAGAGACGGCUAACUCUGUGCCAGCAGCCGCGGUAAUACAGAGGUCUCAAGCGUUGUUCGGAAUCACUGGGCGUAAAGCGUGCGUAGGCUGUUUCGUAAGUCGUGUGUGAAAGGCGCGGGCUCAACCCGCGGACGGCACAUGAUACUGCGAGACUAGAGUAAUGGAGGGGGAACCGGAAUUCUCGGUGUAGCAGUGAAAUGCGUAGAUAUCGAGAGGAACACUCGUGGCGAAGGCGGGUUCCUGGACAUUAACUGACGCUGAGGCACGAAGGCCAGGGGAGCGAAAGGGAUUAGAUACCCCUGUAGUC
rnacentral:rRNA from 1 species